UUUCGCAAUGCCCGAAAGGGUGACGAAGCGACGCCGCGUGUGGGAAGAAGGCCCUCGGGUUGUAAACCACUGUCGGGAGUUAAGAAAUGUAAGGAUGUUAAUAGCGUCCUUACUUGACUAAGGCUCCGGAGGAAGCCACGGCUAACUCUGUGCCAGCAGCCGCGGUAAUACAGAGGUGGCAAGCGUUGUUCGGAAUUAUUGGGCGUAAAGAGCACGUAGGCGGCCUUGCAAGUCAGUUGUGAAAGCCUUCUGCUUAACGGAAGAACAGCAUCUGAUACUACAGGGCUAGAGUGCGGGAGGGGAGAGUGGAACUUCUGGUGGAGCGGUGAAAUGCGUAGAUAUCAGAAGGAACGCCGGCGGCGAAAGCGACUCUCUGGCCCGUAACUGACGCUGAGUGUGCGAAAGCUAGGGGAUCAAACGGGAUUAGAUACCCCGGUAGUCCUAGCCGUAAACGAUGGGCACUAAGUAGAGGGGUUUU
rnacentral:rRNA from 1 species